UACAGAGGGUGCGAGCGUUAAUCGGAAUUACUGGGCGUAAAGCGCACGUAGGCGGACAUUUAAGUCAGGGGUGAAAUCCCAGAGCUCAACUCUGGAACUGCCUUUGAUACUGGGUGUCUUGAGUAUGGAAGAGGUGAGUGGAAUUCCGAGUGUAGAGGUGAAAUUCGUAGAUAUCGUAAGGAAGACCAGUGGCGAAGGCGGGUCUCUGGACAGUUCCUGACGCUGAGGCACGAAGGUCAGGGGAGCAAACGGG
rnacentral:rRNA from 1 species